CAUAAGCUCACAACGAUUUAUUGAUAUCUGCCUGCGGGAUUCUAACACUGGUUCAGUCGCAUCUUUAUUAGAAAGUCGGCCGUCUCUACUACACCGCUUAGGCCACGACGAUUUCAAAUUAAAUAGUAAAUUCUAGAAUAAAUGAGUUAGUUUUAUGGUUUUAUCAAUAAUAACGUGUAGGUACAACAGAUCCAUCUUACGCCGACAUGAGGCCGACAACGCUAGAACAACCAGUCGAUGACAUUCUAGGCGAGAUGCUGCUAUUCUUUAUCAAGCAAUAGAUAGUGGAUUUGUUUGACUUGGCAAGAGUAGGCUUUGAUUUGAAUACCAGAAAUAUAGUGUAGUCUUUCACAGCUUGAAGGAAAAUAAAAGCUGUGCAGACUAUUCAAAAUAAUGUUCACCCAAGGUCAUGGGCAAUAUGACGUGAAUAGGAAACUGCAUGUCAGACAUUAACUUAAUGUUCUAUAUUAUUUAUAAACAAAUGAAUCUAAUAUUUUAAGACAAUAAAUAAAUAUUUAUUUUUAUAAUUAGCCCAGUUUUUCGUCGACGAAGCCAUCUUAAGAGAAGCUUCAUUGCAAAUAUCAGGCCGAUAUUUAACUAUAGCGGACAACAAACAAGAGUAGACACAUCGUGAGCUGUAGUUGUAGAAAGAGGAGAAAAUGGAAACUAAGGCGAACCACUGGCUCAUGCAGCUUUCAUUUCAGCAGAGGCUGCUCGUACGCAAGCAGAGGCCGCGCAUCUUCCAGCUGAGAUAUAUAAAAAAAUUCAAGGAAUUGACCAAUAUCGGCAAAAACCUUGUUUAAAAUAAUAAGUUCAAUUUUGUUUUAAUUUUAGCUAAGUCCGUAAUAGUUUAUAUUACCAUAAAAACGAAAUAGCGCUUGUUACAAUAGCCAAGCAAAUCCAAAUAUAUACGUUUUACUUUAGGCUGGUACUACAGUAAAUUUUAUAACACUAAUGAGUAUAUUUUACGCUAAUAAAACUACUCUCAACUAA